rnacentral:rRNA from 1 species
ACACUAUAAGACUGGGAUAACUUCGGGAAACCGGAGCUAAUACCGGAUAAUAUUUUGAACCGCAUGGUUCAAAAGUGAAAGACGGUCUUGCUGUCACUUAUAGAUGGAUCCGCGCUGCAUUAGCUAGUUGGUAAGGUAACGGCUUACCAAGGCAACGAUGCAUAGCCGACCUGAGGGGGUGAUCGGCCACACUGGAACUGAGACACGGUCCAG